rnacentral:misc_RNA from 1 species
ACCCAAGGUUGGGGCUA